AUUGCUUCUAAUUGUCCUUUGGACAUACUACUCAAUUGUCUGACCUCGGAUCAGGUGGGAUUACCCGCUGAACUUAAGCAUAUCAAUAAGCGGAGGAAAAGAAACUAACAAGGAUUCCCCUAGUAACGGCGAGUGAAGCGGGAUGAGCUCAAAUUUGAAAUCUGGUAGUCUUUGGCUGCCCGAGUUGUAAUCUAGAGAAGUGUUUUCUGUGCUGGACUGUGUACAAGUUUCCUGGAUACGGAACAUCAUAGAGGGUGAGAAUCCCGUCCUUGACACAGGCUCCCAGUGCUUUGUGAUGCGCUCUCAACGAGUCGAGUUGUUUGGGAUUGCAGCUCAAAAUGGGAGGUAAAUUCCUUCUAAAGCUAAAUAUUGGCGAGAGACCGAUAGCGAACAAGUACCGUGAGGGAAAGAUGAAAAGCACUUUGGAAAGAGAGUUAAACAGUACGUGAAAUUGUUAAAAGGGAAACGAUUGAAGUCAGUCGCGUCUACUUGGACUCAGCCUUGCCUCGGCUUGGUGCAUUUCCUUGUGGACGGGCCAGCGUUCAUGUUGGUUGCUGGAAAAGGUGUAGGGGAAUGUGGCUCUCUCGGGAGUGUUAUAGCCCUUGUUCAUAUACAGUGACUGAUAUGGAGUGGUACAGCAUGCUUCGGCGGUGCUUGUGCUGGCAUAAUGGCUUUAAACGACCCGUCUUGAAACACGGACCAAGGAGUCUAACAUGUCUGCGAGUAUUUGGGUGAUAAACCCGAGUGCGUAAUGAAAGUGAUAGCUGGGAACCCUGCAAAGGAGGCACCGGCGCCCCGAGCGGAUCUUCUGUGAUGCAUCGGAGGUAGAGCAUAUAUGUUGGGACCCGAAAGAUGGUGAACUAUGCCUGAAUAGGGUGAAGCCAGAGGAAACUCUGGUGGAGGCUCGUAGCGAUUCUGACGUGCA
rnacentral:rRNA from 1 species